rnacentral:rRNA from 1 species
AGGAGCUUGCUUUUUAAAGCUUAGUGGCGGACGGGUGAGUAACGCGUGAGCAACCUGCCUCUCAGAGGGGGAGUAACGUUUUGAAAAGAACGCUAAUACCGCAUAAUAUAUCGGAACCGCAUGAUUCUGAUAUCAAAGGAGCAAUCCGCUGAGAGAUGGGCUCGCGUCCGAUUAGUUAGUUGGUGAGGUAACGGCUCACCAAGACUACGAUCGGUAGCCGGACUGAGAGGUUGAUCGGCCACAUUGGGACUGAGACACGGCCCAGACUCC